AUUGAACGCUGGCGGAAUGCUUUACACAUGCAAGUCGAACGGCAGCACGGACUUCGGUCUGGUGGCGAGUGGCGAACGGGUGAGUAAUGUAUCGGAACGUGCCCAGUCGUGGGGGAUAACGUAGUGAAAAUUACGCCAAUACCGCAUACGAUCUAUGGAUGAAAGCGGGGGAUCGCAAGACCUCGCUCGAUUGGAGCGGCCGAUAUCAGAUUAGGUAGUUGGUGGGGUCAAGGCCCACCAAGCCAACGAUCUGUAGCUGGUCUGAGAGGACGACCAGCCACACUGGAACUGAGACACGGUCCAGACUCCUACGGGAGGCAGCAGUGGGGAAUUUUGGACAAUGGGCGAAAGCCUGAUCCAGCCAUUCCGCGUGCAGGAUGAAGGCCCUCGGGUUGUAAACUGCUUUUGUACAGAACGAAAAGGUUUCUACUAAUACUAGGAGCUCAUGACGGUACUGUAUGAAUAAGCACCGGCUAACUACGUGCCAGCCGCCGCCGUAA
rnacentral:rRNA from 1 species